UGAUAAGGAUUGUUAGGCGCACUUAGAAUUUCAUACAGCAAUAGCCAACGCUGGCACAGGGACGUGCCGGCGAGGCGCAUAUGAACAUGGAUGUGAAUUUGCGCCGGUUGGCAGAUAAAAUAAUAUUAAUACUGAAAUUCUUAGUGCGCCUUACUAUCUUUAUGC
rfam:Roseburia sp. CAG:45 genomic scaffold, scf34